UACGGAGGAUCCAAGCGUUAUCCGGAUUUAUUGGGUUUAAAGGGUGCGUAGGCGGCUUUUUAAGUCAGGGGGUGAAAACUUGCGGCUCAACCGUAAGCUUGCCUUUGAUACUGAGGAGCUUGAAUCACUUGAGGUAGGCGGAAUGUGACAAGUAGCGGUGAAAUGCAUAGAUAUGUCACAGAACACCAAUUGCGAAGGCAGCUUACUAAAGUGAGAUUGACGCUGAGGCAACGAAAGCGUGGGGAUCAAACAGG
rnacentral:rRNA from 1 species